GGGGGAGAUUGUAAGGGCAUAUUUCUAUCCCAGUAGUUUUGGUGAUUGAUGACGACACUUUUGUGGACUAAUCGUGUGCGAUAAGCCUUUCAGGUAUUUCCUCAAUUGGCACAAAGACGAUUCUUGCCCCUCAGUGUUUUGAUGUGAAGUCAGUUUUCUCUCUUAUUCUUCGUUGUUGGUGGACUUGAGUUGUAGGAAAAGUCGUACU
rnacentral:lncRNA from 1 species